UACAUGGGGUGCAAACGUUGCUCGGAAUUAUUGGGCGUAAAGCGCGCGUAGGCGGUUACUCAAGUCGGAUGUGAAAGCCCUCGGCUUAACUGAGGAAGUGCACCCGAAACUGAGUAGAUAGAGUACUAAAGAGGGUCGCGGAAUUCCCGGUGUAGAGGUGAAAUUAGUAGAUAUCGGGAGGAACACCGGUGGAGAAGGCGGCGAACUGGGUAGAUACUGACGCUGAGGCGAGAAAGCGUGGGGAGCAAACAGG
rnacentral:rRNA from 1 species